rnacentral:rRNA from 1 species
UACGUAGUUGGCAAGCGUUGUCCGGAUUUACUGGGCGUAAAGAGCGCGCAGGCGGUCGGAUAAGUCGAAUGUGAAAGCCCCCGGCUCAACUGGGGAGGGUCAUUCGAUACUGUUCGACUCGAAGGCAGGAGAGGGAAGUGGAAUUCCCGGUGUAGUGGUGAAAUGCGUAGAUAUCGGGAGGAACACCAGUGGCGAAGGCGGCUUCCUGGCCUGUUCUUGACGCUGAGGCGCGAAAGCUAGGGGAGCAAACGGG